UUAACAAAGGAUUCGAUAUUCAUGGACUGAGCAAAUGUGCUAAGAGAACUUUAGUACUUACCGGACGGAUAUAGAGGAUUCUGUGGUUACAACUAAAAAACCAAAGCUUCUAUUGAUACCUUCGGAGGCAAACCCUGCAGGCUGCAGCCAAGAAUAAAACAUCACACUCCUUGAAGGUGAACCUGGAGGUAAACCAACGUCGUUUCUUACUAAAAGUAGAAGAAAUCAUUCUCUUCACACUAUUGCUAUUCUUCUUAGCCUUUGCCACCUGCAGGUGUACUCUAACCGACUCUUCUUCUUGAUCUUCUUCUUCUUCUUGAAUAGUUGGCAGCUUAGUAUUGAGUAUUUCUUGUAUGUCUUUCUUGGACUCUGUUCUCAAGAUUGUUCUUCUUGUACAAGACACCACUCUCCACAUUCUGCUGCGACAGGCAGAUCUCCCUAUUUUUGUGCAGCCAAGGCUCAUGACUGAGAAUUGAAAAUGAAACCUUCUUGAAAGACAGGGUGAAGGAAUAAAAUAUGGGUUUGUAAUUGAAGUAGCUGGAAAGUUAAUAUGGUCCCUCCUUCUCCUUUACAGUGAAGGUUCAACUAUUAUUAUUAUUAUUAUUAUUAUUAUUAUUAUUAUUAUUAUUAUAUAUACAAUUAUAUAGUUAGGUUUUGCUCAACAGGAAAUUUACUUUGUCUCUAGAGGAGUUGACAGUCCUUUUCAAGGAAAUGAUGAUGAGCAUUCUUCAUUUUGCUUGGCUUCAUUUUGCUUUUGCAGAGAUUUUAUGCACUCCAAUUAAUAAGAUGGCAUGCAAAGAUGACCCCUCUGCUUCUUCUAAACCAAAAAGGCUAAAGCCACAAACAGAGAGUAAAUUCACUGAAUGUUUUUACAUUUAUAGCAAAAGGCAUUGCAUAUGUGAGAAACUUUACCUCUGUUUUGGGUAAUUAAGAAUCUUUACAAAGUUCCAAGUAACAGUGUUUGAACUUCCUUAAUUUAUUGUUUGUUGUAAAGAACAUGUAGAAAUACUGAAAUAAUUCUGCAAAUUAUCACAACUCAGUAUGCUGAAA